AUAUGUAAAUAGACUUUCGUCAUAUUAUGAAAUCUACCAAUUAAGUAACUAUCAAAAAACAGAAAUAUAGGCAUCGGUUGUUCCUAGAGUUCUCUUAAACAUUUCACUAAAGAUUCCAUUUCUCGUCCACGUUCUUGAAGUGUUUGGAGGAACUCUCGGAAUCACCGGUGAAUGAUUAUUAUUAAAGGUUUAAACGAUUAUUUAUUGCAUGCAGCUAAUUUUAUUACUUUAAAACAAUUGACUCUUUGCUGAUUGAUUGAAGUUCUUUUGCCGAUCGAUAUUAAUGAUAUAUGAAGCUGAAUGUUAUCCAAGAAAUAAAUUAACUUCUGUGGCUGUGACUUGUUGCUUUCAAAUUUGCAUGUUCUUUCCUUAAUCUUCAAUGACAAACCAGCUAGCAAGGCUUUGAGAUAAUGUAUCACUUUAUAGGUAAAAAAGAAGAAGAAAUUAUGUUUGUUCAAAUCAUGGUGAUGCAGGUAGAAUGUAUUUGAACUUUGAAGGAGAGGGACCACUUGAGCUAGAGUAACUGACAAACACUGUUCAAAGCUGAAGUAUGUAUAAUUAUGCAGUUGAUGUUACUGGAAAAUGCUAAAGAAAGAUCGAGUUUUGAUUUAGAUGGCUUAUUCUUCCACUCUCAACGCUCUCUCCAUUAACGGUCAAUUCAGAUGUGUUUUUUGUGUGUGUCAAAAUACACUUUUGGAUUGACCGAUUCAGACGUGUUAAUUAGAGGUUCUUGAGAACACAAGGGACUGAAAAAGUAAGCUACUUUGAUUAUUCCCUUAUGGAAUAUUGAGCUUGCUAAUCCAUUUUUUUGAUCCCAAAUAUGAAGGACAUAAACACACUAAAAAACCUUGUACGUUCGUUCGAAUUUUGGUGCUUACUCGACUUAGUACAUUUGUUCAACUCGUUAGUUAUUUGCUUGUUUGCUUCAUUAUUUGCUCAGUUGAUAAGAUAAUACAUUAGUUAACUUGCAUUUCAAACAAUGAUAUUUCAUUUUUGAGAUGAUUAUGUUGAGAUAGGAGACUUUGUUUCUCAUCUAAAGAUUCCUAGACUAUUCUAAAAGAA